ensembl:misc_RNA Metazoa_SRP Metazoan signal recognition particle RNA
GCCAGGCAUGGUGGCACGUGCCUGUGGUCCCAGCUACUUGGGAGGCUGAGGCAGGAGGAUCACUUGAGCCCAGGAGUUUGAGGCUGCAGCGAGCUGUGAUCGCACCAUUGCACUCCUGCCUGGGCAACAGAGUGAGACCCUAUCUCUA